GACGAACGCUGGCGGCGUGCCUAACACAUGCAAGUCGAACGGAAAGGCCCUGCUCUUGCGGGGUGCUCGAGUGGCGAACGGGUGAGUAACACGUGAGUAACCUGCCCUUGACUUUGGGAUAAAUUCAGGAAACUGGGGCUAAUACCGGAUAGGAGCUCCUGCUGCAUGGUGGGGGUUGGAAAGUUUCGGCGGUUGGGGCUGGACUCGCGGCUUAUCAGCUUGUUGGUGGGGUAGUGGCUUACCAAGGCUUUGACGGGUAGCCGGCCUGGGAGGGUGACCGGCCACAUUGGGACUGAGAUACGGCCCAGACUCCUACGGGAGGCAGCAGUGGGGAAUAUUGCACAAUGGGCGGAAGCCUGAUGCAGCAGCGCCGCGUGCGGGAUGACGGCCUUCGGGUUGUGAACCGCUUUCGCCUGUGACGAAGCGUGAGUGACGGUAAUGGGUAAAGAAGCACCGGCUAACUACGUG
rnacentral:rRNA from 1 species